GGCGCUCUGCAAGGCCUCAGAGCCAUGAUGAAUUGAGACCAUGAGCCAAAGCUAACAAUCCUUCCUCCCAUGGGCUGUGGCUUUCAGGCAACCCAGUCAGACAGUGACUGGCAGGCUUCACACUCCAGAGACAUUGGCAAGCCGGAUAUAGUAUCUGGGUUUGGUAUCAAGUGACAGCCCCAGUGAUUUCACAGAAUACAGACUUAGCAUUUCCCAUCUCUAGUGGACUGGCCACCAUGGCAGAGGAGGAGAGCAGCUGACAGUGAGUGAAUCACUCCUCAGACCAGAGUGGGAAAAAAAAGAGAUUGUCAAGACCACUGCAAGCAGGCGGCAGGCUGGCUGUAACUAAAUGUAAAAUGCAGAUGUGCCGUAGACAGACUGAGGUGGCCACAUCUGCAUGAUAAAGAGGUACCCAUGCGGCUUUGAUGUCCUCAGCUCUUGCUGUAGAGAAUAGACUACUGUGGAUGAAGCACAUCAGCCUGGGGUUCCCAAAGAUCCAAAGGGGGCAGGACCAGAGAUGCUGACCCGGGCCUCCAGGUUCCAGUUCCAGUUUUCCAGGGAUGAUGGGUUUCCAGAGCUGGGCUCAGGAGGCAGCUGUAUCAUAGUGGCAUAGGUAUGUUUCCAUACCCCCCCAUUCCCUGGCCAUUGGAACCUCUUUUGCCAAAGGAGAUCUUGGCCUGGAGGGGGGAAGCAGGAUGCCCCUGAGAGUCUUGCUGCAAUAGAAUCCUGUGAUGCAAUCAUGUGACAAAACGUCCAUG